CUAAUGCAACUGAAGCUGAAAUAGUGACAAAAAUAUUACACGGUACUUAUUCAUAGUAGCUAGGGAAUUACAGUACUUUGGCGAUAGAAAGUAGUUUAUUUUGUGAAGUGGGAAAAUAAUUUGUCAUUUGUUUGUAAAACCUAAAACUUUAAUCACUCGCUGUCUUUUUUUAAUUACUGAGCAUUCCUUGCAGUUUGUCAACAUGCACUUUAUACAUUCAUGAGUCAAAAUAGAAUUUAAACAGAAAUAAAACGAUUAAGAGCUCUAUAAGGAGAACCAAUGCUUCUGCUCCGCCAUCUAUGUAGAUACAAGUGAUCCUCUCCAAGUAGCAUGGCACUGAAAACUGUAAUGUUGGACAAAUGUACUCAGAAGUCUCCACAGUGGUUCCUGAUAAGGCUGUGAGUCUGCCAACUUCACUUCUUUUCUGUGAUUUACAGUGCGUAAUCUUUUUCUUUCACCACCAUCGUCCUAUUACAAAAGCAUAACUGUUCCUUUGAUAAUAAUUGACAACUUCAUCUUUAAAUUAUAAGGUGCAGUAAGACUAAGUUUCUUUUUUCUUAUUCUUGCUACCAAGUUUUCUUCGGCUUCAAUCUAACCUUCAAUUGCCAGGUGGGUUUAUUGUAAUGAUAGGCUGCCGUAUGUUUUCACGUCUACAGCUUAUUAGAUGGAAUAUUACUUCUGAAGCAAUAAAUGGGAGGCAGUGCUCGUGUGUACUUUACUCUUUGUCUUUAUUUUUUUUCAUUACACUCAGGACGUAUUAACAAGCUUAUUUUUUUAUCCUCACAGGCGCGAGUUUAAUUACAUUUGGAGAAACAUCACCAUCAGCUAUGGAGGGGAAUAUGUAAUGAGGGCUUUUUUGAUUAAAACUAAAGUUUCUGUUUUGAUUCGAGUUUUUCUUUUUUUUUAUUAGUUAAUAUCUGGUUUCUGACUGGAGGUUGCAAUGCAUUUUUCAAUAACCUCAUAUUCAUAUAGAAGGUUAAGCUAUCCAAAUCCAGGAUGGUGAAUAUUUAGCAAGCAAAAUGUCAUGCAGAGACAUGGCAUUAACCAUUUGAUAUUGAAGCAGUCAUUAUGCAAGUUAUCAACAUCGAACAAUUCUCUCAUAUUGGAACCUCUGGACAUGUGACUAAAUAUGUUUUUAGUGCAUUUUACCUCCUACUUAUAUUGACAGUACACAAUUUCUUUGAGUAGCCAUAUAAUCAGACUAUAUACACAUAAAAAAAAAGGCCCAAUUCAAAUUAAAUUGGGACAUUGUGUAAAAGCUAAUUAAAACAAUACAAUGGUUUGCAAAUCCUUUUGAACCUUUACGUAUUUAAUUAAGACAUGAUAUUUUAUGGUCAAACUGAAGAACAAGUUGUCUAAAUUUGCAUUUGAUCCCUGUAAAACAUUCGGAAUACGCUGGGACAGGGGCAACAAAAGACUGAGAAUGUCGAGGAACCUGUUUGGAACAUUCCACAGGUGAACAGGUUCAUUGGUAACAGGUGCAGGUUUUGAUUCUGACUGUAAAAGUAGCAUACCCCAAAGGCUCAGUUGUUCAUGAGCAAGGAUGAGGCGAGGUUCACAUGCAUCAUUAUCAUGAUUGGUUAAGCCAUCAUUAUUUUUAGCAAUAAUAGCGCAACAUAAAAGACUAACUCACUUAGAGGACAAUGUAUAGAUAGGCAAUUCUUCUAACCAAAACCUCUGCUCUAUAGUCACACUAUUGGGUUUGUUGUCUUGGCUUUGGUCAUAUCUCCCUGAAAGAAAUAGGUUCAAGAACUUCGUGAAACCAUCUGUACCAGACAGAUGUGGUCAGAAAGUUAUUCACGGAGAUUCCCUGCAUGUGCGAUCCAUUUGGAAAUCUGCUCUCUAUUUGUAGAUGUGCCUUUCCUGUCUUCGUCUGUUUGACGGAGUCAGUAGCACCACAGCAGGAUGUGAAAUAGUGCUGGAGGCAGGGUGCCAGGCACAAGCAGCUGGGAAGGCCUCCCUCUCUUCUCCUGUCAUCAAUAAAUGAUCAUAGGCCAUGUGGAGGGAGGGAACCAUCAACCAGCAAGACCCGGAAAACAACUACCGAUGCAUCUAAGAAAGAGCGAUAUCGUGAGGAAAAAAGUAAAGACAGAGCAGAAGAGGGAAUCUAAAAUAACGUGAGCGUAGAAAUUGGUUGAUAUGGGGCAUAUAUAGAAUGACAUAUGUUGCUCAGUCAUCACAAAACUAACAGAAAAUGCAGUAUUUAUUGGCCCAACAAUAACUUUGGGCCUGAAUACAAAUUUACAAUGCCUAAAAUGUAAACUAAAUACAACACGUCAAAGCUACAAGAAUUUUGGUUUUUUGAUUUCUGAUAUGGUGACAAAUCUAACAUCCUGUACAUAGUCACAACACGAUGUUUAAUGACUGAUUUAUUUAAAUGUAUGGAACCAAUGGGUUAAAUUCAAAGGGUUUUGUCGGUCUUCACACACAGUAUGCAUGCACACAUAUAUAGGAAUGAUGAAUAGUUCAUUCCUCUGCCUUAAGACUGGUCAAUACAAAGACAGCCGUCUAUCCGCUGGGUAAGAGCGGCAUAUAAUUGAAUCCUCUGUGGCUACUUAACCUGUCAUUGCUGCUGUGCACCAUGUGGGAGGAAUAGUUUCACCUUGUACUCACAUAUGGGUUCCUGUCACAGAGAGUCUGACUUGUAAAAUGUCUGAUCCAGCAGUUCACCCAGAGGCGCAUCAGAGGCUCAAGUCUUACAAAGGAUGUUCAGGGCAAUUCAAUUCUCUGAAUAAGAUUUUUGAAAUAAUUUAUCUUAACAUUACAGAUUCCACACAAGCUGGCCUCCAGGUUAGGUUUUUAAUUGAGGGCAUUAUAAGACGAUUGCCAUUGGUAAAACGACACCCUUAAAAAUCCUGGAUUAAAAACAACCUCAUUGGGGUUAAAAAAAAUGGGUUGUUUUGUACAAAACAACCCAUUGUACGCACAAUCCAAUAAAAUGUUUUUAUUUGGCCAAACAACCAAAGGUUUGGGCAAAUUAACCCAACUUCCCAUGUAGGUCCGAUUUUUAACUCAGCACUUUCAACAAGAAGAAUCGAAUACAAAACCUUUCAGUAAAAGGUAAAACAUA